GACGAACGCUGGCGGCGUGCUUAACACAUGCAAGUCGAACGGAAAGGCCCUGCUUUUGUGGGGUGCUCGAGUGGCGAACGGGUGAGUAACACGUGAGUAACCUGCCCUUGACUUUGGGAUAACUUCAGGAAACUGGGGCUAAUACCGGAUAGGAGCUCCUGCUGCAUGGUGGGGGUUGGAAAGUUUCGGCGGUUGGGGAUGGACUCGCGGCUUAUCAGCUCGUUGGUGGGGUAGUGGCUUACCAAGGCUUUGACGGGUAGCCGGCCUGAGAGGGUGACCGGCCACAUUGGGACGGAGAUACGGCCCAGACUCCUACGGGAGGCAGCAGUGGGGAAUAUUGCACAAUGGGCGGAAGCCUGAUGCAGCAACGCCGCGUGCGGGAUGACGGCCUUCGGGUUGUAAACCGCUUUCGCCUGUGACGAAGCGUGAGUGACGGUAAUGGGUAAAGAAGCACCGGCUAACUACGUG
rnacentral:rRNA from 1 species